AGUGAGAAUGCCGGAAUGAGUAGCGAGAAUUAUGUGAGAAUCAUAAUGGCCGAAAAUCUAAGGUUUCCUGAGGAAGGUUCGUCCGCUCAGGGUAAGCCGGGGGCUAAGGCGAGGCGGAGACGCGUAGCCGAUGCACAUACGGUUGAAAUUCCGUAGCCACCGAAAGAUUUAAGUACAGGGACGCUUUAGAAGUGAUGUUGCCGGGCGAUGGUUGACCCGGUCGUAAGGGAUCGAAAAUGAGUAGAGAAGUCAUCAUGGAAAGAGACAAGAAAAGCUGUAUGGAUAUCUUAGGUGCCCGUACCGCAAACCGACACAGGUAGAUAGGAAGAAGAUUCUAAGGCCAACGGGAGAAGGGUUGUUAAGGAACUCGGCAAGUUGACCCCGUAACUUAGGGAUAAGGGGUGCUCAAGUGAUUGAGCCGCAGAGAAUAGGCCCAGGCGACUGUUUAGCAAAAACACAGGUCUCUGCUAAAUCGAAAGAUGACGUAUAGGGGCUGACACCUGCCCGGUGCCGGAAGGUUAAGAGGAGAUGUGAGAGCAUUGAAUUGAAGCCCCGGUAAACGGCGGCCGUAACUAUAACGGUCCUAAGGUAGCGAAAUUCCUUGUCAGGUAAGUUCUGACCCGCACGAAAGGUGUAACGAUCUGGGCACUGUCUCAACAACCCGCCCGGCGAAAUUGUAGUACCGGUGAAGAUGCCGGUUACCCGCGACUAGACGGAAAGACCCCAUGGAGCUUUACUGUAGCCUAAUAUUGGAUUUCGGUAUUUCACGUACAGGAUAGGUGGGAGACUGGGAAGCACAGGCGUCAGCUUGUGUGGAGUCGACCUUGGGAUACCACUCUUGGAGUGCUGGAAUUCUAACCUGCGGCUUUGAAGCAAGUCGGGGGACAUUGUUAGGUGGGCAGUUUGACUGGGGCGGUCGCCUCCUAAAGAGUAACGGAGGCGCUCAAAGGUUCGCUCUGCAUGGAUGGAAACCAUGCGUCAGAGUGUAAACGCAAAAGCGAGCCUAACUGCGAGAAUGACGGUUCGAGCAGUAACGAAAGUUGGAGUUAGUGAUCCGGCGGUAUGUGAAUGGAAAUGC
rnacentral:rRNA from 1 species